AGCAAUAUAUUCGCCAUAUUAAACUGCAAAAUUAUAUACAUAUUCAAAAUUGAAUAUGGAUAAUAUGAAAUAUUAUCUCGAAAAGCAAUACGAUUGUUUACAUUUUAAAAACACACGACCACAAAUCACGCACGCGCAUCUUAAACUAAAAAGAAGAAAAGAUGGCGUUUGAAGACAAACAAAAAUAGAAGUGACACCUGCCAUCGAUUAAUAUAAGUAUGUAUAUGGCGAGUGCAGUCGCAUUCGAUAAAAAUAAAAAACAAACGAAAAUAUCCAUAAUUUGAAGAAACACUUGGAAAUGGAAAGCAGACAACAGAAGAACGUCCACUGGUUGGCAAAACAUGAACACCACAACUGUUACUUUUUCUCUGAUCUCUUUUAGUUCGAGUCAAUUUUAUUUUUAUAUUUUUUUUUUAUUUUUGUAUCUCUCUCUCUCUCUCUCUGUCUUUCGCUCGUUACUAUUUCGAUCAACCCCGCUUCCUUAAAAUUGCUUUGGCGCCCAUGCGACAACACGAAUCACUCGCUACUUUACCUAGUGAUGGCAUUAAGUAGCUUUCGACUUGUAUUGAAAUUAAAAAAAUUUCUCUAAAUCGAUUUGAUUUUCUUUUUUUCCUAAACUAAUUUACAUUUAUUUAUUUUAACCUAAACAUUUUUGUGAAUGAUUUUUACAUUUUAAUCUUCGAAAAGGCCAAUUUUAAAUUAUAUCCGCCAUCUUUUUUUCUUAUGGUUAUUUUUUAUUCGAAGAAAAUGGAACGUUUCACGAUAUUGCUUAUGAUCUCUCGAGAUAUUCGAAUAUUCUAUAGAAUCGUUGUGUUUUAAGAUCAGAAAACAUCUUCUUCUCCGAAUUGGAAUCAAAAGGGAUCAAAAGGGAUCAAAAGAAUUAAACUUCCAUCACUCGAGAAACUCGAGAACACGCCCACGUUUUUCUCGAUAAUCUGCACAUCAUCGUAUCUCCACUGGAAAUUUCAGAGAAAUCUGACAUCAAAAUAAAUGUGUCAUCCAAUCGCUACAUUUAGUUUUAUUACCAAGUUAUUUCUUGAGCAUCACGAUGCACAAGUUGAGAAUCACUGUUCUAGUCCCCUCUAACUCGAUACGUUAGAAACACGUUGGAAACGAAAUUCUCAACGUUGUUGUCACGUCUUCGAGCGAUUUUUCUUUCAAACCGGGUGUACCAUCGAUUUUUAUGACUACUGAAUAUGUAUGCAUAUAUGCAUCUCAUUCUUUCCUUUCUAUGUUUUUUUUCUCUUUUAAGAAUGCAUUAAUUUCACUCUCCAUACAUAAUAAUAUUCCAUGAAAUUUAAAUAAAAAAAAGAUACCCUUUUUAAAUAGUAGGAAACUUUUAUUUUUUUUAAAUAUUACUAUAAUAAUACUACUAAAAGAGAAGCAUAUAACGUUAUAUGCAUAAUUAUAUAGUAUAUAUAUAUUUUUUUCAAUAUAUCUAUCAACGUCUUUUACAUUUAUUUAUUUAAUAGUCAAGUUUCUGUGAAACUUUGAAGAAAAAAAAAAGCAUUGCAUUGUACGUGGCAGCCUAUAUCUUAUCUAGCAAAUAAACUGAAUAUAAGAUUAAAAUGGAGACAGAAGUAGUUAAAAAUAUUCCAUGUUUUUGUCAAGGAAAAAAUUUAAAACAAAAAAUCUUGUAACCAAGAUUAAAUAAACGUUGAAUGGAAUGAACAACAAUAGGUGUGCUUAUUAUACGAAUAUUUCAUUUCAUACAAUAUCACUGAAAGUAGAUAAGUAUAAAUUGUAAAGUCGUAUAAAACGCUUAUUAUUCAUAUUUGUCAAUCUUUAAUUCUCUCAUUUAAUCGCUUAUUAACCGCCUAAAAUAAAAAUAGUACCGUUAAAAUUCGGCUUUCUUCUGUUUAAAAUUCGUUCUUAUUUUCCAAUAGGAAAUACAUGCAUAUGGUACAAAUUGUUUAACGCUUAUAAAGUCGUAGACAUAGAUAUUGAUUAAUGAAACGUAAUGAAAAGUGUAUAUAUAUAUAGCGUUGGGGGAAAAAAACAGUUUAACAGAAGUCUUCUUCGACAAUGUUUCCUUGUCGAUGGAACACAAAUGGGUAAAUAGAGCCUAGAUCAAUACAGAUAGAAUGUUUACUCCAACAUGCGCUUUUUUCCAUUUCUUUUUCCACGAAAAAUGGAUUAGAAUUAAUCAUAACAACUUUAUAAUAACAAUUAUUUAAAGAUUUUUCAGUAUUCUUUUUAUUAAUUAAAAAGAUACUGUUUUAAACGCUAUUAAAAUACAACUAUAUGUAGAAAAUCCACCGAGUAAAAAUAUUCAUUUUAUACCAUACCAAAAUUCUUACAUCUUCAACCUAUUACAUAUAAUUUUAAAUUGGUAUUGUAAUUACUUGAUCACGUGAAAGGAUUAUCCCUAAAGUAUAUUUUAACAUAAAAUAUAUGUUUAAAAAUUCGGUAUAUAUACUAAAAAAAAAUAUAUAUAUAUAUCUUUCCAUUAUUUUAAAGAAAAAAAAAAUUUGAAUUAAUUUGUAUACACUAUACAGGAAUGUAUCAUAAUAUCGUCUUUCGUAAGACACACAAUACACACGUGUAUUAUAUAUGUCAUAAUCACGGAGAUCGAGUAAGAAAAAAAAAA